AAUCCGCCCCCAUCCUUUUUCCUCUCUCACUCUCUCUUACCAGACGCGGUGUCUACAUGCGACGGAUUUCACCGGCGAUUUCACUAGAUCCGCCCCCAUCCUUCUUCUCAGGGUUUCUUUCUCUGGCGAUUCCGACAUCAGAUUUACUGGGUUCAACUUCUUUUAGGGUUUCUUUCUCCGGUGGAAAAAAGAUCCAGAUGAAGAUGGAGCGGUGGAGAUACCGUCGACUUAGAUCUACCUUACCACCGUCGAGCCAGAUCUGAGGUUACACGACUAAG